UUAAGAAAAUGUUCGCGCUUAUACCGUACACUAUUUUCUUUUAAUAUUUACACUCGACUAUAUCAAGUUCAAGUUCAUCUAGCUGAAACAUUUAGAUAUUCCAAUGGAACUGCACGAUAUAGUCGUUCCAGAACGACAAAAACGACGUGUUCCCAAACCAGCAGUAUUCGUACUGUUAAGUGUAAUUUGUAAACGAUAUAGUACCGCUGCAAUUACAACAAUUUUAACCAUUUUCAUUAACUUGAAACUGGAAUACGAUAAGGACAUGUCAACGACAGUAUAUCACUUUUACACUUUCAUGGCAUCUACUUUCUCUGUUAUCGGAGCGAUUAUUGCAGAGAGUCGGUUCGGCAUUUACAGGACCAUAGUUUUGGUGUCGAUUGUUUAUGCAGUUGGUUGUGUUAUAAUUACCAUCGGAGUCGUUGAUGUAUUCGACCUUCCAAUACAAGUCUUUAGUGCCGUCGGCUUAGUGGUAAUGGCAAUUGGUGAUGGAUGCAUUACACCAUUAAUUUCCACAUAUGGAGCGUAUCAGUAUCAUUCAACUGAAGUCGACAGCAUCGCUUUGUUUUUUGUUUUAUACUAUUUCGCCUACAAUGUAGGUAGUAUAAUCUCUCGUCUAGUCAAUCCAUUUCUA